CAUUAGGCAGUUGAAUGUGCAGGUAUACUCCAUCCAUUUCCAUCCCUUCCACUCCCAUCCACAUGGCCUCAGGUGCUGGCAACCUAUGCUAUGCCACUGAUAGGGCCUUCUCUGUGGGGACUCUCUAUCCCUUGAAAUAUGUCAAACAUAAUUUGUAGUGAACUUUUGUCAUACAUGAAAAACACAUUCAUCAAGGCCUAUGGGCCAUCUUAAUUUGGGUGUUUAGGCUUUUUUUUCUUUUUUUAAAAAAGUGAUCCUGUGUUAGUUAUUGGCAUUUGAUGUUUACCUGGGCUGUAGCAAGCUACUCUGUCAUUGUUUUACUGGUAUGUAUGUAUAUUGUUUUCUUUUUAGUCUAUUGUAAGCUACUCUGGGGUCUUGGAUGAAAUGCAAUAUGAAAAUGGUAUGAGUUAUAAUAUUAUAUUUAAAACAAUGCCAGACAUUCUAAGCUUAUAGGGAUUUCCUGUUUGCAAUGAGUCUGCUGUGUCAUUGUGAGAAAAGUGAGUCCUCCUCUCAAUUGGCAUCUGUCUCAUCCCAAAUAAACAGAAUAAUUCAUUAUUAAGUGUUCCUACAAAUAGGUUUUUCCUGUUGGCUCUAUUUUUCCUUGAAAGUGCGUGCCCUUACACUUGAAAGAGCAACACAACAUUGUAGGACCUCAUAGUUAUAAAUUAUUGAAUCUCAGCAGCUAUUAAAGGAGCAGCCCCACCUCCAAGGCAAGUUCACCUGACAUGAAAGAAGUGAAUUUUUCUUGAAAACCUGUUCAUGUUCCUCGGGAGAUUAUGGGUGAAAGUACUCAUCCAUGCUGAAGGAUAGCCAUUGGAGAUCCAAUUGACCAAGGUAAUCAAGGUGAUUAAUGCAGGAAUCAUUGCCCUCAUCCUCUGAUGAUUUCAUUUGCAUUCUGUGAUGUCAUUAUACUAGGGUUACCAGACGUCCCUGUUUCCCGGGGACAGUCCCCGGAUUUGCAAAUUCCAUCCCUGGAAUGUCCGCGGAUUUCAUCUAAUGUCCCCGGGAAACGCAGCAGCGGCAGUCUCAGCAGCCCGGAGCUGUUGGCUCUGGCUGGCUUCAGGAGCUAUUCGGAAGUCCCCAUAUAAUGGUGGUGCAGGGGCUCUAAGAUGCAGCUUCCGGGCUGCCUCCACCUUCCUUGACCCCAGCAAUUAAGCUGUGAAGGGAGGCUUCACGCUGCCUAUUAGAGCUUGCGUGCAAGCAGGAGAGGGCAGGGAUCUCUCAGUUAGGCAACGGGAAGCCUCCCUUCCCAGCUGAGGGACCCCCACUUCUUCCUGCUUGCACACAAGUAGGAAUGGGAUUGGGGCUGCUCCGAUGGGAAGGGAGGCAUCACGCUGCCCGAGUCUCGCAGCCCCUCCUCUCUAGGCCCUCCUCCUCUGCCUUCCAUGCCUGACCCACAGCGCACCCCUUCCCCACCACCACCACCACUGAAGAACCAACAACUCAGGGGCUGCCCAGGCUCAUGGAGAAAGGAGAUAGAAGCCUCAGAGGAAGGGGAAACACGGCGGUUGAGGUCAAGGCGGCAGCCACCCCUCUGCCACCGCCAUCGCUACAGCAUCAACGUCCCGAACAUGUAGUAUUUUUUUAUUUAUUUAAAGUGUCCCCAGAUUCAUUGAAAAAAAUCUGGUAACCUUACAUUAUACAGUCAGUUGCUACCAUUAUGUCAUCAUGUUCACUACAUGACUCUCCGGGAAAGGAGCCUUUGCAUCUAUACCCAGGAAAACUCACUGCUUACAGCAGGGUAGUGUAACCUCUGACCCUCCAGAUGUUGUUGGCCUCCAACUCCCAUCAGCUCCAGACAGCAUGACUAAUAGAGUCAGGUAUAAUGGGAGUUGGUGUCCAAUCACAUCUAGAGGGCCACAGGUUAUCCACCCCCUCCUUAAAGAUCAAAUCCAAAUGUCCCAUGACAAUGCUGUCCCAUUGUGUCAUUGAUGCUUUUUUACGCUAGCCACAAUUGUGUUCUUUGUAAAACUAUUUAAGGAGACAGGCUAUCAUAUGUUUCUAACACAGUGUUUGGGAAAUCAUUUCACAGUCAAUUAGUCUGGCUCAGCUCUAUGUCAUUUUGUGCAACCUUCUAUUUCUUAAAGAAGUUACUUACUUCCCUGUCUCAUUUCCCAAAAAGUGCAUUUGACAUUCUGUUGUUUGUUUUUGUUUCUUUAUGGCUUUUGUCUGCAGUGCUGCUUUUAAAAAAGUUUGAUUUUAUUUUCUAGCACCAAAGUUUUACUUUCACCAAAAAUGGCUUUCUAUUCAGGAACACUGGAAAUUCGCAUUUCCUCCCCCCCCCAUGUUCUCUGCUCCUAACCUGCACACAGUUGAAUCUGUGAUUUUUUUACCCUGUUACCAGCUUCUUUGCAUUCAACUGGAUUCUACUUUAUUUCUGCUCGAAAAGACUCAUAAUAAGAGUGUCUCCUGAUAGCAGAACUGGGACAGAUAUAUAUGCAAGCCAUUCUCCACCUAUACUGGUGUUUCUUGCUUCCCUGGAAUACAUAAAAAGGAUUAAGAACCAAAAUAUCUUCACAUACUUCCCAACCAUGAGACUACAACAUUCUUCUGAAGCCCACAGUCAUAGAUAUGCCAGUAUAUUAUAUGAUGACAUAAAUGUCAGAUCAGGGAGCAAUCAAAACCCCGUAUCUGCCAGCAGGAGCCUAGUUUGGAAUAGACAGGUCUCCAACUGAUCUCUAACUUAGCUCAGUUCUGUAAGUCCCCAAAAUGUCGCAGCCAAAGCAAUGUUCACAGCAGAUAGUUUUUAUUGUCAAAAAUAACACUGACAGUCACUUCUGCAGCUCUGGAUGUCUAUGUACACCAAUCUAAUAGCUAGGCAGCUAUUCCCAGGUCUGUGCUCUAUGGAGCAGUUGCAGCAACAGAGGACCACUCCUCCCCCCCCAUCAGUUUACGUACCUUCCCCUGACGGGCUGAAUACACACAGCCAUAGACUCUGCGUAUGUGGAAAAUACCUCUACUCUUCCCUUUUCAAUCCCCUCCUGGUUCUGGGAGGCAGUGGUGCAGGAGAGGGUGAGGAAGCACAUAGCCCAUGGGUAGGCAAACUAAGGCCCAGGGGCCGGAUGCGGCCCAAUCGCCUUCUCAAUCUGGCCUGCAGACGGUCUGGGAAUCAGUGUGUUUUUACAUGAGUAGAAUGUGUGCUUUUAUUUAAAAUGCAUCUCUGGGUUAUCUGUGGGGCACAGGAAUUUGUUCAUUUUUUCUUCUUCAAAAUAUAGUCCAGCCCCCCACAAGGUCUGAGGGACAGUGGACUGGCCCCCUGCUGAAAAGGUUUGCUGACUGCUGCCUUCACUUGUUUGACCUGACUCUUCCUUCUUAUCUUCCUGUGCUCCACCCUUCAGCUAUGAAGUUCCCCCUGCUUCUGAUUCUUGCCUCCUGGCUGGUAAGGGUCCCCACAAACCACUGCCCCUGUCUCCCAAGUCAGAUUCCAGCUCCGCUGCCCCUGGUGCACACUUGUUAGCAUCUUGCCAGUCCCUGAUGCAAAAUAGGGCAUUGCAGGGGGCAGGGCAGGGGAGAUCCAGCCCUAUUCCAAACCCCGCUAUGACCUAGUGAGCCAGAGGAAGUUACACUGACCAAAAGGGUGAUGGAAGUCAAACUCGAUUUUAAAAAGACGUUGGAGUAAUUUGCAAAGUUGGAGGCAUAAUUUACUCCAGCGUAUUUUUUCACUGGCCUCCUUUAGUUUGGAUUGCUCUGCAGAUUGAUGUACUAUUCGAACACUUGCAUUCUGCCCCUCCCCAAGGAUAGAAGAGGAUUCUUGUCCCUCUUGCUCAUGACUCAGUGGAGGUCUCUACCCACUCAUUGCCUUGUCUCACCAGCUGGUGUUGACCAUAACUGUUAGCAUUUAGUUUUGCACACAUUUCAUUUUGAACACAACAUGUUCUAAGCAUAGGAGGUGAUUUGGGGAUUUAGCACAAAGUGCCACCAGCAUGCUGCAGACACUCCAGCUCUCUUUCUCAUCAGAUUCAGCUGGGUUUCUAUGGAAGAAGAGCUCUCGCCUUUUGAAGUGUGGUCCUGAUGCCUUGACUCAAAGUUGCAAACCCACCAUGGCUGUCCUCCAUUCAUAGGUCACAAGAAUGACUGUUAUUUCCUAUCCAACAGAUGUGGGGCCUCCAGAAUAUCUAGACCACUUCCUUCCUGAUGCAGCAAAGCUGUCCAAUGACACUUAUUGUCAAUCUAGGGUCCUGAAGGGAGAUUCUAUCUUGCAUCAAGUUAUUCCAAACCUAUACCCCUGCUCAAGAACUAAUCUCUGACCUGACAUGUGAGAAAGCAGUUUUCAACAUUGAUCUUUUGAUAAACUUUCACCCCUAACUUCUUAUCUCUUUUUCUCAGUCUCCAGGUUUUAAGCUUGAAACUCUGCUUCUGUCACUGACAUUGUUUUUGUUUAUUGGAACUGUCUGGUCACUCCGUCUGUCAUAUUUAGGUGAUUACUCUGUGCCCUGCAUUGGCCUUACACAGCAAAUGUACAGGAUACCUUUUUAUUUUAUUUUUAAAGGCAGUUUCUCCUCACUCCUAUCAGAAAACAGCAGCGCGCAUUGCCAAAAGAAGAAAAAAGAACAAAUAAACAAUAUUGAAUUGAA